rnacentral:rRNA from 1 species
AUUGAACGCUGGCGGCAGGCCUAACACAUGCAAGUCGAACGAGGGGCGGACGGGUGAGUAAUGUCUGGGAAACUGCCUGAUGGAGGGGGAUAACUACUGGAAACGGUAGCUAAUACCGCAUACCAUCAGAUGGGCCUAGAUGGGAUUUGCUAGUUGUUGGGGUAAAGGCUAACGAAGGCGACGACCCCUAGCUGGUCUGAGAGGAUGACCAGCCACACUGGAACGGGGACACGGUCCAGACUCCUACGGGAGGCAGCAGUGGGGAAUAUUGCACAAUGGGCGCAAGCCUGAUGCAGCCAUGCCGCUUGUAUGAAGAAGGCCUUCGGGUUGUAAAGUACUUUCAGCGGGGAGGCGUUACCCGCAGAAGAAGCACCGGCUAACUCCGUGCCAGCAGCCGCGGUAAUUC